ensembl:misc_RNA Metazoa_SRP Metazoan signal recognition particle RNA
GCCAGGCACCAGUAGCAUGUGCCUGUUGUAGUUAAAAGCUACUCUGGAGGGUGAAGUGGGAGAACUACUUGCGCCCAAUUCUGGGUUGCAUUGCCAUAUGUCAGUCAGGUAACCACGCUAAGUUAACAUCAGUACGGUGUUGUCCCAGGAAGUGGGGACCACCAGGUUGCCUGAAGAGGGUAAACAAGACCCUUGGUCAGAAACGGAGCUGGUCAAAACUCACAUAUUGAUCAAUAGUGGGAUUGCACCUGUGAAUGCUUGCUGCACUCCAGCCUGGGCAACAUAGCAAGACCUGGUCUCU